GAUCUUAUAGUUUAAAUUAAAAUAUUAAAUUGCAAGUUUAAAGAUAUUGAAUAAAAAUAAAUUAAGAUUU
rnacentral:tRNA from 1 species